rnacentral:rRNA from 1 species
UAUUGAAUACUUCGGUCGCACUUCAUCAUGGGCUGUUUCUUUCUGAUUGUUUGUCUGGGAUCAGCCGCGGUGGAUCUCGCCCGCGAGGACAAAGCAUGGGUUCAAAAAGAGGAGAGCACACGAACCAAUAAAUCAUAACUUUCAACACGGAUCUCUUGGUUCUGGCAUCGAUGAAUAACGCAGCGAACUGCGGUAGGUAAUGUGAAUUGCUCAAUUCAGUGAAUCAUCUAAUCUUUGAACGCACGUUGCGCCCGCCAGUAUUCUGGCGGGCAUGCCUGUUCGAGCGUCAUUUCUACCCUCAAACCCCCGGGUUUGGUGUUGGAGAUCCAAUAGCUUUUCUGCUUACCGGCUCCGAAAUCUAGUGGCGGUCUCGCUGCAGCCUCCAUUGCGUAGUAGAGAACACCUCGCAACUGGAACGCGGCGCGGCCAAGCCGUUAAACCCCCAACUUCUGAAUGUUGACCUCGGAUCAGGUAGGAAUACCCGCUGAACUUAAGCAUAUCAA